UCACGAAGACUGUGUUCCUUUCAGUCCCUGCAUAGACACGCUGUAGGUCUCUGGCACACUAGAAAAUCAAAGACUUGGGAAGAAGCCUGGAUUUAGGACUGGCACAGCAUUGUCUUGGAUUGUGUACAAAAUUGGGGGAAGAUAUAGUCCCUGCCGUGCAGACUUAAACCUACUUUGAGACAGACCUAGCAUGUAAGGAGUUUGACAGCCAAUAAGAAGAAAGGGAGAACCAGGGCACAGGACAUACAGGGCAGAAAUCACAGGAACUGAAGGACCAAGGACACCAAUGGAACCACAGGAACUCAAGAUGCAAUGAGGAACGGCGAGACACAGGAACCAGGAACAGGUCAUUGAUAAAAAUGUUCAAUGGCUUGGAGCCAAGAAGUGAUCCUGGAGGGACCCUUCUGGAAAUAGACCCACUCAAUUAUGAUUCCCCAUUUACAAUUCCUUUUCAGGAUCUGGGUCCAUGUACCGUGAGUGCAAAGUGUGGAUGUUCCUUUUAAUGUUAUCCUGUUCCAGCUGACUAUUGACUCCUGUCUUGUGACUGUGGACUCUGGCUCUGACUACUAGAUGUGGCUACCUACAACCUUGCCUUGACACUACAUCAGUGUGAAGGAUCCACCAAGCCCCCUGUCCUGCUUGGAAGGGAACUGUGCCACGGAUGGUGCGAGGUCACCAUGUACCUUUUCUGGCUGCAGUGGGCACUACUCUUCACUCUGGAGUGUUGUGAGGCCAAGCCCGCAAGGUGCUGCUCCUCAUGGAAAGAAAUUUCAAAAUGUCGGUUUCCCGCUGGAUGAAAAUUCUGUUUCCUGAUCAGCGGUCAUCACGAGAUUUUUCAACCCUUCUCUACAAAAUCUGUCUUGGUAUGUUGAACAUACAUUGAAAUUGUCAAGGCAUCUGUAUUUAAGAAGGGAUCAUGGCACAAAUGAAAAGCAACUAUUGCAUGUUGAUAUUUAGCUUUCUCCCCAUUCCAUCCUGCAGGCCCAAGAGUUAUUCUUAGGUAUGAAUUGAUAUGCAUUACGUGUGUAUUUUGAAAAAUCUGCUACGUGAUCUGGAAACAGCAAGGCAGAAUUUCCAAGAUGGCACAUACUAGGGCCUGCACACUGCAAUUAGAUCCAUGCGGGCAGACCCUUCAUGUCAAUCUGCACAGCGGUAAGGGUCUACCUGUACUGAUCCAACUGCAAGAGGAGUGUGACAUUCAGGGGAAUCUUGUGAAUUUGGGAAGAUAGUAUGAAGUUGUUCUUAUGAAAAACUGCUGUUCUACAAAAUGCUUCUGUCUAUCCAUUGUAACUGUCAAGACUUUAAGCACAUCCCUCCCAGACUAGAUACAAUGGACUGUAGUUAACCUUUACUGUACUCUGACUAGUCAAGAGGUAUGCUAAAGAGGUUGUAUGCUUUUGAGGGGGGCUGGUUUAGCUGCAGGACUAACGAAGGUCAGAAAAAGCAAACGGGGCUCCAGGAUUGAAGAGACAAAACAAGGGCUGUUGCAGAAAGACCAUGAAUGGCCUGGAGGACUUUCAGCCCAGCCCAAAGAAUGCUUUGGAGUGGUGAGGAAACUGAGGUAGGGAAAUGCAUGCAGGGUUUAUUAUUUUUGUAUAUAUCUGUGUAUUUCUUGUAAUAUUAAAGAGCACUGGUGGCUUAGAAUCCUGUGCAGUCUGUCGCAUCUGUCAUGCCCUUGAAGAGUUAAUGUCA